UAUCAUCUCCCCUUAAACCAUUAGCCAAAUGACUCUUUCCUUGUUUAAAUUGCUUCUGUCAAGGGUGCUGUCACAAUGACAUAUACAAGAACUAACACAGGGAGAUGGGUUAGAAUUCAAUAAAUGACAAAGAGAAACAUAGACUGCACUCAAGAGGAUGAAAUCUGGUCCUUACACACAGAGUGAACUCAAAUGGAUAAAGGACUUAAAACUGAAAAGCCUGAUGUUACAGUUCAGGCUCAAGGACCAUUGCAGAAGAGGAGGUGGGAAGAUCACAGGGGCCAAA